AUUGAACGCUGGCGGCAGGCCUAACACAUGCAAGUCGAGCGGAGCGGCGGACGGGUGAGUAAUGCCUAGGAAUCUGCCUGGUAGUGGGGGAUAACGACCGGAAACGGGCACUAAUACCGCAUACUAUCAGAUGAGCCUAGGUCGGAUUAGAUAGUUGGUGGGGUAAAGGCCUACCAAGGCGACGAUCCGUAACUGGUAGGAGAGGAUGAUCAGUCACACUGGAACGGAGACACGGUCGAGACUCCUACGGGAGGCAGCAGGGGGGACUAUUGGACCAUGGGUGAAAGCCUGAUCCAGCCAUGCCGCGUGUGUGAAGAAGGGCUUCGGAUUGUAAAGCACUUUAAGUUGGGAGGCGUUACCAACAGAAUAAGCACAGGCUAACUUCGUGCCAGCAGCCGCGGUAAUUC
rnacentral:rRNA from 1 species